UCAUUCAGCUGUUGGUUGUGAAUCCAUGUCUGGUGUCCCCCUGCAGAGCAGCACAAGGCCAGCUGUUCCUCCAGCUGUGAUUUUUGCUUUUUCUUUCUGAAGUAUCAGUUCUGGGGCCUUCCUGCUGAGCUCUUGGCAGCAUCCUCCCCUCCAAGGCCAUUCCUCUCCCUCUCCAGGUGUUACUGCCAGCACCAGCAUAUAUAUAUACCAUGGAAAGAAACCAACAGGUGACACCCACUUCUGCAGAACACAACUGCAGUUCUCCUCCUGUUUCUUCAUUAGCUUAUUUCUUGGCUUAUUUUUUAAAAGAAAUGCCAACCCACCCACCCACCCAAAAGAAACCAUAAAAUUUCAAGAAUACCAGACUGCAGCAAAGUGCAUUAUGCUCCGGAUUUCCCCAGAAGAGCAUCCCUGGGAAAAUCGGCGCGUGCAUUUUCCUGUUUUCUCACGAAACCGGAGCUUCGUUCACUCGCAGGUGAGCACCGCGGCCCCUUCCCCGAGCAGGCGGGAGGCAGCGGGCCAGGGGCAGAGCACAGCGAACAGAGCACGAGUCACGGCUCACAGCGCCUUCCGCACGUGGCGGGGCCGGUCCUGAACUGAAACCGGUGACACGACGGCCACGCAGGCUGCGGGCUCAUCCAGCCGAGGCGGCGGGCGG
rnacentral:lncRNA from 1 species